rnacentral:rRNA from 1 species
GACGAACGCUGGCGGCGUGCCUACUACAUGCAAGUAGGACGCAGUUGCGAACGGGGGAGUAACGCGUAGGUAACUACCUAUUAGAGGGGGCUAACUAAUGGAAACGCUAGCUAAUACCGCAUACUAGUAGAUGGACCUGCGUUGUAUUAGCUAGUAGGUAGGGUAAUGGCCUACCUAGGCAACGAUACCUAUCCGACCUGAGUGGGUGUACUGCCACACUGGGACUGAGACACGGCCCAGGCUCCUACGGGAGGCAUCCGUAGGGAAUCUUCGGCCAUGGGGGGAACCCUGACCGAGCAACGCCGCGUGAGUGAAGAAGGUUUUCGGAUCGGAAAGCUCUGUUGUUAAGGAAGCGGUACUUAACCAGAAAGGGACGGCUAACUACGUGCCAGCAGCCGCGGUAAUAC